AGAUCGUCCUCUUCCUUGUCGCGUCUGUCUCUAUCCUCAGCGAAUAUCUGGAUUAAACUAUCUUGUUCUUUCUUCGUUUCUUCUAACUCGUCUUUUGUUGUUUGUAACUUCAAUAACCAAAAGGAAUCCAUUGGUUAAGAGUGUUGUCAUAGGUUUGCAGGCAGACAUAGUAGAACUUACCUCGGCUUCAAGUUUCUUGCGUAGCUCUUUCUCACGUUUCAGCUCGUCUUUCAAUAACAGGAAAACUUCUUCUUUUUGAUUUAGACUGAGAUAAAGAAUACACAGCUUCCAGUGAGAAACAUGAAUCGUAUAGGCAAAUUAACAUGGUGAGUAUGGUGACAAACCUUUCUUUUAACUCUUCAUUCUCUUGUUCUAAUUGACUAAGGGUACGUGAACCAGACCGAGGCUUGUGUAGUUCGGAACUCUGCAAGAAGAUGUACAAAAAGAUUAUGUUCUCAAUCCAAUUCACCAGAGAAAGCGUAUAGAUAGGGAGAGAAAAAAAAGGAGCAUGUACCUUCUCGGGAAGCUCAGUGACAAUUCUUUCAGAAGAAGAAGAAUCAUCAUCACUAUUGGUUAACUCUACAGCACCAGCACGAGCUCCUCGAGGCUUUGCUCGUUUGUUAGACUUGGAAGAG
rnacentral:lncRNA from 1 species